GAUGAAGAACGUAGCGAAAUGCGAUACUUGGUGUGAAUUGCAGAAUCCCGUGAACCAUCGAGUUUUUGAACGCAAGUUGCGCCCGAAGCCAUUAGGCCGAGGGCACGCCUGCCUGGGCGUCACACGUCGUUGCCCCCCCAUCUACUCCUUCGGGAUUGCGGGGGGCGGAUGAUGGCCUCCCGUGCGCCUCGCCGCGCGGUUGGCAUAAAUGCCAAGUCCUCGGCGACGCACGCCACGACAAUCGGUGGUUGCGAAACCUCGGUUGCCCGUCGUGUGCGGUCGUCGCGCAUCGAGGGCUCGAAAAAAUUGCCGGGUUCCGGCUCGGCUUUCAACGCGACCCCAGGUCAGGCGGGGUUACCCGCUGAAUUUAAGCAUAUCAAUAAGCGGAGGA
rnacentral:misc_RNA from 1 species